rnacentral:misc_RNA from 1 species
GAUGAAGAACGUAGCGAAGUGCGAUAAGUAAUGUGAAUUGCAAUUCCGUGAAUCAUCGAAUUUUUGAACGCAAAUUGCACUCUUUUCGGAGAGCAUGCCUGUUUGAGGGUCGUUAAAAUAAAAAAUCGACGUUACCUUCGUAACGUUUUCGGAAUUGAGUCAUCUUAAAAGAUUUUGGUUAGUAAGAGGCUUAAAAAUUGAUCUUGGUAUGAUUUAAGCGUGGUUUAACAUUCGUUUAAUUGGUACCGAAACAUUUUUAUUAGGUGUUACUAUCGUGAAUUCUUCUCAUAGUUUUGGCGCCUAUAAUAUGAAAUUAUGACCUCAAAUCAGGUAGGAAUACCCGCUGAACUUAAGCAUAUCAAUAAGCGUAGGA